UGAUUUUAUCUCUAUGACCUGUUUAGAAACAUUUGUUGCACCCUUCUGGAAUAGACAUCAUCACUGAACGUCCAUUGUAUUCUGGUCAGCAUGUAGCUGAAGUCAUGCUGAGAUUUUAAUCCAAACUUUCUGACACUGCUAGUACUGUCAGUACUUUCCUUGGCUGCAAUGGCACUGAAUUGGCUGCUGGAGGACGUUGGAGAACCCUGAAUAAGCUGUUUAGGACACAAGGAGAACAUGUUAAACUCCACAGAGUCCUUGUGUGUGUUUUCUACUUUUCUACUUCUUUUUGUCAGUCAAUUACCUUUAACAUGAACUUUAUCCUGGUAAGGAAAGUAGUGAUGAGU